GACGAACGCUGGCGGCGUGCCUAAUACAUGCAAGUCGAACGCAGUGGGGACGGGUGAGUAACACGUGGGUAACCUCCCAUCAGAGGGGAUAACACUUGGAAACAGGUGCUAAACCGAUAUUGAUGGCUGGACCCGCGGUUCAUUAGCUCGUUGGUGAGGUAACGGCGCACCAAGGCCACGAUGCCUAGCCGACCUGAUAGGGUGAUCGGCCAGACUGGGACUUAGACACGGCCCAGACUCCUAAGGGAGGCAGCAGUAGGGAAUCUUCGGCAAUGGACGAAAGUCUGACCGAGCCACGCCGCGUGAGUGAAGAAGGUUUUCGGAUCGUAAAACUCUGUUGUGAGAGAAGCGGUAUCUAACCAGAAAGCCACGGCUAACUACGUGCCAGCAGCCGCGGUAAUAC
rnacentral:rRNA from 1 species